rnacentral:ribozyme from 12 species
GCACGCAAGCAAAAACAGAAAAAAAAAACAGAAAUAAAACAAGAAGGAAUAGUGCGAAUAUUUGUAAUUUGAAUUGGGCGCAGCUAAUGUCAAACUCACCCUACAUCCCCGACUCCUCCUCCACAUAAUUCGAGCGUUUCUAGUGACUUUAUCCUUGCAAGGUGAGAGCAGCCGCUAUCAGUAAUCCGACCAGAGAAGAUGUCCAAGGAUUUUAGGUUUUU